AGAACGAACGCUGGCGGCAGGCUUAACACAUGCAAGUCGAACGCUCGUAGCAAUACGGGAGUGGCAGACGGGUGAGUAACGCGUGGGAACAUACCCUCCGGUUCGGAAUAGCUCAGGGAAACUUGGAUUAAUACCGGAUACGGCUGAGAGGCGAAAGAUUUAUCGCCGGAGGAUUGGCCCGCGUUCGAUUAGCUUGUUGGUGAGGUAACGGCUCACCAAGGCGAUGAUCGAUAGCUGGUCUGAGAGGAUGAUCAGCCACAUUGGGACUGAGACACGGCCCAAACUCCUACGGGAGGCAGCAGUGGGGAAUAUUGGACAAUGGGCGCAAGCCUGAUCCAGCCAUGCCGCGUGAGUGAUGACGGCCUUAGGGUUGUAAAGCUCUUUCGCUCGGGACGAUAAUGACGGUACCGAGAUAAGAACGCCCGGCUAACUUCGUGCCAGCAGCCGC
rnacentral:rRNA from 1 species